rnacentral:lncRNA from 1 species
CCUCCGCGCUCGGGGCGUGCCGGGGCGGGCGGGCGCCGGGUACCGGGCGGGCUCCUCGCACCGGCCGGGGCUCGACGCCGCUCCCCGGCAGCCCCGCGGCCGGCGCCGGGACGCGGCUUUUUUCUUUUCUUUUCUUUUCUUUUUUUUUUUUUUACAGGAAAAAACAGCGUUGCUCGCGCUGCGCCCGACGACUUCCUAUUCUGCCGCAUCCCUGCGGCCGUGCCCUCUUCAUCGCGGGGCGGCUCGGGCCGGGGCAGCCCCGGCACUGACUGCGGCCGCGGUGGAACCGCUCACGACGAGGGCUUCGACGCGAUCCUGGUUUCUUCGGAGCCCACGCGCCGGCAAGGAUUGAAAUUUCCCGGCUUGGCAGCUCGCGCUGGUGUCUUUUGGGAAGAGUUCGCGUGCUUGGCGGUGGUUUUGUUUCUGCGAGUUGUCAAAGAACAAGUUUUUGUGGUCAGAAGUUGGCGCUGAGCUUCAAGAGGCUCUUCUCCAUGUUGCUUCUUCAGAUGUCUCUGGAAACUUACUGGUUUCUAUUUUCUCAAUAAAUCUGUGUUGUUUGAAUAAUAAUCUGUGUUU